rnacentral:rRNA from 1 species
AACACGUGGGUAACCUGCCUUAUAGUGGGGGAGUAGCCUUUCGAAAGGAAGAUUAAUACCGCAUAAGAUUGUAGUAUGCAUGAUAUAGCAAUUAAAAGGAGCAAUUCGCUAUAAGAUGGACCCGCCGUCGCAUUAGCUAGUUGGUGAGGUAAUGGCUCACCAAGGCGACGAUGCGUAGCCGACCUGAGAGGGUGAUCGGCCACAUUGGGACUGAGACACGGCCCAGACUCCUACGGGAGGCAGCAUG